GAUGAAGAACGCAGCGAAAUGCGAUAAGUAGUGUGAAUUGCAGAAUUCAGUGAAUCAUCGAAUCUUUGAACGCACAUUGCGCCCUUUGGUAUUCCAAAGGGCAUGCCUGUUCGAGCGUCAUUUGUACCCUCAAGCUAUGCUUGGUGUUGGGCGUCUUGUCUCUAGCUUUGCUGGAGACUCGCCUUAAAGUAAUUGGCAGCCGGCCUACUGGUUUCGGAGCGCAGCACAAGUCGCACUCUCUAUCAGCAAAGGUCUAGCAUCCAUUAAGCCUUUUUUUCAACUUUUGACCUCGGAUCAGGUAGGGAUACCCGCUGAACUUAAGCAUAUCAAUAAGCGGAGGA
rnacentral:misc_RNA from 1 species